rnacentral:snoRNA from 1 species
AUGGUCUGGGGAAAGGCUCCUGUGUUGUUGAACCCGCGCAGUUGUGGGUGCAGCCUUGUACCAGGCAGCCCAACCCUGACCUAAAGCAAAUUCCCAGAAGUCUUUCCUGGGAUUUGAAUUUGCAGUAACAGGUGUGAGCAUUCUAGCAGCAGUUUGAUGAUCAUGUAUGAUACUGCAAACAGGA